rnacentral:RNase_P_RNA from 18 species
CGAAGCAGACCAGGUGGUCGCCGCCCGCAAGGGGGGAGGAAAGUCCGGGCUCCACAGGGCAUGACGCUGGAUAACGUCCAGCGGGGGCAACCCCAGGGAAAGUGCCACAGAGAGAAGUCCGCCUGUCGGAAGCGUGCGAAGACAGGUAAGGGUGAAAGGGUGAGGUAAGAGCUCACCGGAUCCGGCGGUGACGUCGGAUGCCAGGUAAACCCCGUCAGGAGCAAGACCAAAUAGGGAAGCGUCAAGGACGGCCCGUCCGUGCUUCCGGGUUGGUUGCUUGAGGCCGUCGGUAACGACGGUCCUAGAUGAAUGGCCGCCGCCUGCUUCAGGGAAACCUGUUGCAGGAACAGAACCCGGCUUAUGGGCUGCUUCGGCCA